GAAGGCUAUGUUGGCCGGGCGACGGUUGUCCCGGUUUAAGCGUGUAGGUGUGUGUUCCAGGUAAAUCCGGUUCACUUUAACACUGAGGCGUGACGACGAGGCACUACGGUGCUGAAGCAACAAAUGCCCUGCUUCCAGGAAAAGCCUCUAAGCAUCAGGUAACAUCAAAUCGUACCCCAAACCGACACAGGUGGUCAGGUAGAGAAUACCAAGGCGCUUGAGAGAACUCGGGUGAAGGAACUAGGCAAAAUGGUGCCGUAACUUCGGGAGAAGGCACGCUGACACGUAGGUGAAGUGAUUUACUCAUGGAGCUGAAGUCAGUCGAAGAUACCAGCUGGCUGCAACUGUUUAUUAAAAACACAGCACUGUGCAAACACG
rnacentral:rRNA from 1 species